rnacentral:snoRNA from 1 species
ACAUGAUGAGACUCCAGCUGGCACCAGUCUGAGAAGACUUGUACUCUUUACAUGCGGAUCAGCUUUAUAUGGCUACAUGCCUACCCUCUGAA